rnacentral:rRNA from 1 species
UGCCAGCCGCCGCGGUAAUACGGAGGGUGCAAGCGUUAAUCGGAUUCACUGGGCGUAAAGGGUGCGCAGGCGGUUAGAUGUGUCAGGUGUGAAAUCUCGAGGCUUAACCUCGAAACUGCGCCUGAAACUAUCUGACUAGAGUAUCGGAGAGGUGAGCGGAAUUCAUGGUGUAGCAGUGAAAUGCGUAGAUAUCAUGAGGAACACCAGAGGCGAAGGCGGCUCACUGGACGAUUACUGACGCUCAGGCACGAAAGCGUGGGUAGCGAAAGGGAUUAGAUA